ACGGUCGAGUUGACCGUCGGGAUUCGAACCCCGGAUAGAAACCGCGACAGAGACACGCCGCGAGCGUGUUUUUU
rnacentral:sRNA from 19 species